AUGGAGGUCGAGAAAGGACGCAAUAUGUCGCAGAUUGGAGGAGAUGGAUGGGCCCGUUUCGUCGCUCGCAUGCAUCUUACUGGUGGUGAGUUGAUCAGCUUCAACUUGCGAGCAGAAAGACCCAAGCUAGCUGUCAUUUAUCUCAACCUGGUGGAAGAUGAUGAAGAUGACAAAGAUGAUGAAGAUGAUGAAGAUAAUGAGGACCCACUCGAUGAAGAUGAUGAGGACCCACUUCAUGAAGCCAUCGUAGCUCAAAGAACAAGGCUGAGUGAGGAGGAGGUGUCCAACCUGUGGGACAUAAUUCCGCCACGUGCUGACUUUGUCGGGGUGCCAUUCGUGACCCGCUUGACAAAUACCAUGGUUGAUCGACAUGAUAUGGUAUGUUAUAUUUACAAAUGCAAAUUAAUAGUGUGA
rnacentral:rRNA from 1 species